UAGUGACGUAUCGGAUUACUGGGCGUAAGCGUGCGCAGGCGGUUUUGUAAGCCAGAUGUGAAAUCCCCGGGCUUAACCUGGGAAUGGCAUUUGGGACUGCAAGGCUGGAGUGCGGCAGAGGAGACUGGAAUUCCUGGUGUAGCAGUGAAAUGCGUAGAUAUCAGGAGGAAUACCGAUGGCGAAGGCAGGUCUCUGGGCUGACACUGACGCUCAUGCACGAAAGCGUGGGGAGCAAACAGGAUUAGAUACCCUGGUAGUCCACGCCCUAAACGAUGUCGACUGGUUGUUGGGGGUUUGACACUCUCAGUAACGAAGCUAACGCGUGAAGUCGACCGCCUGGGGAGUACGGCCGCAAGGUUAAAACUCAAAGGAAUUGACGGGGACCCGCACAAGCGGUGGAUUAUGUGGAUUAAUUCGAUGCAACGCGAAAAACCUUACCUACCCUUGACAUGUCCUGGAGGUCCCUGAGAGGGGACUGUGCCCGAAAGGGAACGGGAACACAGGUGCUGCAUGGCUGUCGUCAGCUCGUGUCGUGAGAUGUUGGGUUAAGUCCCGCAACGAGCGCAACCCUUGUCAUUAGUUGCUACAUUCAGUUGGGCACUCUAAUGAGACUGCCGGUGACAAACCGGAGGAAGGUGGGGAUGACGUCAAGUCCUCAUGGCCCUUAUGGGUAGGGCUUCACACGUAAUACAAUGGCGCGUACAGAGGGUUGCCAAGGGGUGACCUGGAGCCAAUCCCACAAAGCGCGUCGUAGUCCGGAUUGCAGUCUGCAACUCGACUGCAUGAAGUCGGAAUCGCUAGUAAUCACGGAUCAGCAUGUCGCGGUGAAUACGUUCCCGGGUCUUGUACACACCGCCCGUCACACCAUGGGAGUGGGUUCCACCAGAAGCCGGUCGCCUAACCGCAAGGGGAGCGCCGACCACGGUGAGAUUCAUGACUGGGGUGAAGUCGUAACAAGGUAACC
rnacentral:rRNA from 1 species